rnacentral:rRNA from 1 species
CUACGGGAUGCUGCAGGCGAGAAAACUUUGCAAUGUGCGAAAGCACGACAAGGUUAAUCCGAGUGGUUUCUGCUAAAGAAACCUUUUGUCGGUCCUAGAAACACCGAUGAAUAAGGGGUGGGCAAGUUCUGGUGUCAGCCGCCGCGGUAAAACCAGCACCUCAAGUGGUCAGGAUGAUUAUUGGGCCUAGAGCAUCCGUAGCCUGCUUUGUUAGUUUUCGGUUAAAUCUGUGCGCUUAACGUACAGGCUGCCGGAAAUACUGCAAAGCUAGGGAGUGGGAGAGGUAGACGGUACUCGGUAGGAAGGGGUAAAAUCCUUUGAUCUAUUGAUGACCACCUGUGGCGAAGGCGGUCUACCAGAACACGUCCGACGGUGAGGGAUGAAAGCUGGAGGAGCAAACCGGAUUAGAUACCCUCGUAGUC